rnacentral:rRNA from 1 species
AAACCCUUUGAUUUUGGGGGUUGAAAGAUGCCGGUUAUUUUUUAAUACAUGCUAGUAACAAGCGAAUAGGUGAGUAAGUAUGUGAUCAUCACAAAAUGUUACCAGGUGAGGUUAUCGUAAAAUUUUAAUCCUCCUAAGACGACUAGGUUACCCCACAUUUUCACUGAAACAAAGGGAAAUAAACAGCAGCAGUAUAGAAUAUUGUGCAAUCCACUAGAGUGGGACACAGAAAAUAACCACUGGAUUGUCUAAUCAGGUGCCAGCAGACGCGGUUAUACCUGAGAUUCUGGUUUUUUCGGAAAAAGGGCCUUAAGAGUGUGAACAAAACGUAAGUAGGGGUUAGAAAAUUGACGUAGCAGUAGAAUGUAAUUAUGUCAGGUUGAAUGUCAAGGCCUGCAACCCCUUUUAUAUUCAUAACACUAAACAAUAGAAAGUAAAUAGGAUUAGAUACCCUAGUAGCCUAUUGCCUAAAUAAAGAAGUCUUUGUAAAAGAUAUAUUCGCCUGAGUAUUAUAAUCAACUGAUUGAAAUUCAAAAAAUCUGGCUGUUCGUUUUCCAUUUAGAGGAUUGUGUGCUUUAAAUCGAUAAUCCGCGAAUUACCUUACCUAACUUAGACAUCAGGUGCUGCAUGGCCGUCUUCAGUUUGUGUAUGAGACAAACAGACCAAACUUUAUAAAAAACAAAGUCAGGUUGUAUGGUCUUUAUAGUUAGGGAGUCAUGCAAUACAUUAUUUUUCGCAACAAAAACGAAAAUUCAGAUAGAGACUGUAAUAUAUCUAGAAAGCUGAAUUUAAAAGUAAUCACAAGCAGAAAAUUGUGGUGAAGAGGUUCAAACGUUAGCACAAAUCGCCCGUCACCUUUUGUAAUCAAUAACACCUCAUGGAAAAGAGAUGUAAAUUUGAGAACCAAAGCAAGUCGUAACAUAGUGAGGGGAAGGGAACUUCCUCUUGGAAU